UACGGAAGGCAGCAGUGGGGAAUAUUGCACAAUGGGCGAAAGCCUGAUGCAGCUAUGCCGCGUGUAUGAAGAAGGCCUUAGGGUUGUAAAGUACUUUCAUCGGGGAGGAAAAACAAAACUAAUAAUUUUAUUUCUUGACGUUACCCGAAAAAGAAGCACCGGCUAACUCCGUGCCAGCAGCCGCGGUAAUACGGAGGGUGCUAGCGUUAAUCAGAAUUACUGGGCGUAAAGAGCACGUAGGUGGUUUUUUUAAGUCAGAUGUGAAAUCCCUGGGCUUAACCUAGGAACUGCAUUUUGAAACUGAAAUACUAGAGUAUCGUAGAGGGAGGUAGAAUUCUAGGUGUAGCGGUGAAAUGCGUAGAUAUCUGGAGGAAUACCUGUGGCGAAAGCGGCCUCCUAAACGAAUACUGACACUGAGGUGCGAAAGCGUGGGGAGCAAACAGGGAUUAGAUACCCGU
rnacentral:rRNA from 1 species